rnacentral:tRNA from 2 species
UCCCAUAUUGUCUAGCGGUUAGGAUUUCUGGUUUUCACCCAGACGGCCCGGGUUCGACUCCCGGUAUGGGAA